rnacentral:rRNA from 1 species
CCUACGGGAGGCAGCAGUGAGGAAUAUUGGUCAAUGGACGAAAGUCUGAACCAGCCAUGCCGCGUGCAGGAAGACGGCUCUAUGAGUUGUAAACUGCUUUUGUACGAGGGUAAACGCAGAUACGCGUAUCUGUCUGAAAGUAUCGUACGAAUAAGGAUCGGCUAACUCCGUGCCAGCAGCCGCGGUAAUACGGAGGAUUCAAGCGUUAUCCGGAUUUAUUGGGUUUAAAGGGUGCGUAGGCGGUCGGAUAAGUUAGAGGUGAAAUCCCGAGGCUCAACUUCGGAAUUGCCUCUGAUACUGGUCGUCUAGAGAGGAGUUGCGGUAGGCGGAAUGUAUGGUGUAGCGGUGAAAUGCUUAGAGAUCAUACAGAACACCGAUUGCGAAGGCAGCUUACCAAGCUACUUCUGACGUUGAGGCACGAAAGCGUGGGGAGCAAACAGGAUUAGAUACCCUUGUAGUC